UGCUCUUGACGGUACCUGAAGAAUAAGCACCGGCUAACUACGUGCCAGCAGCCGCGGUAAUACGUAGGGUGCAAGCGUUAAUCGGAAUUACUGGGCGUAAAGCGUGCGCAGGCGGUUUUGUAAGUUUGGCGUGAAAUCCCCGGGCUCAACCUGGGAAUGGCGAUGGAGACUGCAAGGCUAGAGUCUGGCAGAGGGGGGUAGAAUUCCACGUGUAGCAGUGAAAUGCGUAGAGAUGUGGAGGAACACCGAUGGCGAAGGCAGCCCCCUGGGACGUGACU
rnacentral:rRNA from 1 species